CCUACGGGAUGCAGCAGUGGGGAAUAUUGCACAAUGGGGGAAACCCUGAUGCAGCCAUGCCGCGUGUAUGAAGAAGGCCUUCGGGUUGUAAAGUACUUUCAGUAGGGAGGAAGGCAGUGUCGUUAAUAGCGGCAUUGUUUGACGUUACCUACAGAAGAAGCACCGGCUAACUCCGUGCCAGCAGCCGCGGUAAUACGGAGGGUGCGAGCGUUAAUCGGAAUUACUGGGCGUAAAGCGCAUGCAGGCGGUCUGUUAAGCAAGAUGUGAAAGCCCGGGGCUUAACCUCGGAAUUGCAUUUGAAACUGGCAGGCUAGAGUCUUGUAGAGGGGGGUAGAAUUUCAGGUGUAGCGGUGAAAUGCGUAGAGAUCUGAAGGAAUACCAGUGGCGAAGGCGGCCCCCUGGACAAAGACUGACGCUCAGAUGCGAAAGCGUGGGGAGCAAACAGGAUUAGAUACCCCCGUAGUC
rnacentral:rRNA from 1 species